GUGCCUGCUUUGGCAGUACAUGUGCUAACACUGGAUCUGUAAAGAGAAGAUUAGCAUGGCCCCCGCACAAGGAUGCCACGCAAAUUUGUUCUGUAUUUCUGAAUCUA